rnacentral:rRNA from 1 species
AGUGAACGCUGGCGGUAGGCCUAACACAUGCAAGUCGAACGGCAGCACAGUAAGAGCUUGCUCUUACGGGUGGCGAGUGGCGGACGGGUGAGGAAUACAUCGGAAUCUACUUUUUCGUGGGGGAUAACGUAGGGAAACUUACGCUAAUACCGCAUACGACCUACGGGUGAAAGCAGGGGAUCUUCGGACCUUGCGCGAUUGAAUGAGCCGAUGUCGGAUUAGCUAGUUGGCGGGGUAAAGGCCCACCAAGGCGACGAUCCGUAGCUGGUCUGAGAGGAUGAUCAGCCACACUGGAACUGAGACGCGGUCCAGACUCCUACGGGAGGCAGCAGUGGGGAAUAUUAGACAAUGGGCGCAAGCCUGAUCCAGCCGUACCGCGUGGGUGAAGAAGGCCUUCGGGUUGUAAAGCCCUUUUGUUGGGAAAGAAAAGCAGCAGGUUAAUACCCCGCUGUUCUGACGGUACCCAAAGAAUAAGCACCGGCUAACUUCGUG